AUGGAGGAUGUUGACGAUGACAACGACACUACUUCCAUUUCAAAUGUUCCAGAUCCCUAUGAUAUGGUUUAUAGCAAACUCCCAACCAACACACACAAGCUGAAGUCGGUGGAGGACUGCAAACACUGCUAUGCAAAGAAGUUCGAGCGUGAGUCCAUGGGUUUUUGCUGCCGGAAGAGGAAGAUCAAACUGGCCAACCCAGAUACGCCACCCGAGCUCAUGAGGCUAUGGACAAGUGCAGACUCUGAUUCCAGGCAUUUUCGUGACAAUAUCAGGUUUUUCAACGGCCACUUCUCAUUCACCUCACUAUAUUGUCACCUUGAUAGUGAUACCACUAACAUAUCAAAGCACCAUAUCUAUACAUUUCGUGCCCAUGGCCAAAUGUACCACAACAUACGGUCAUUCGGCAAACAAGAUGGUUUGGACUGUAGUCACUUGGAGCUCUACUUCUAUGAUGAUGACCCCAGUUUAGAACGCAUGUAUCGCAGUUGCCGUAAAGAGCAGUGCCAGAAAGGCAAAGAAAUAAUCACACAAUUGGUCAACAUACUUCAUGGCAACCCAUACUCUGAACAUCUCUGGAGUAUGGACCAUGUUGAUGAUGUUGAUGACUAUCACAUAACACUUAACCUUGACCAACGGAUGGAUCAAAGAAGAUAUAACACGUCGACCACUUUAGAAGUAGCUGUUGUGUGGGCGGAGGGUAGUGAAUGUCGAAGACAAUUCAACAAUAGCGUCAUCCUACAAGGGAAGAAUAGAGAUAUAUAUGGCAUCAAGUCCUACCAUGGAUGCUAUGAUGCGUUGUCGUACCCUCUUUUCUUCCCUAGAGGUGAACUUGGGUGGCAUACUGAUAUCCCGAAGGAAGGUGUGCCCCAUGUCCGUCGCACCCGCCGAGGUGAGAUCCUUGCAUUCACAUAUUAG
rnacentral:rRNA from 1 species